AUUGAACGCUGGCGGCAUGCCUUACACAUGCAAGUCGAACGGCAGCACGGGAGCAAUCCUGGUGGCGAGUGGCGAACGAGUGAGUAAUAUAUCGGAACGUGCCCGGUCGUGGGGAUAACGUAGCGAAAGCUACGCUAAUACCGCAUACGAUCUACGGAUGAAAGCGGGGGGAUCGCAAGACCUCGCGCGAUUGGAGCGGCCGAUAUCAGAUUAGGUAGUUGGUGAGGUAAAGGCUCACCAAGCCGACGAUCUGUAGCUGGUCUGAGAGGACGACCAGCCACACUGGGACUGAGACACGGCCCAGACUCCUACGGAGGCAGCAGUGGGAAUUUGGGACAAUGGGCGCAAGCCUGAUCCAGCAAUGCCGCGUGCAGGAUGAAGGCCUC
rnacentral:rRNA from 1 species